CCACUAUGACAUUAUAAGUGCCUGUACUGUCAAAGAUCUAAGCUUUGUUAUUCACGUGUUUGUUGGGUUGUGAUUGUAUUACAAACUCUCCACAUGCAUCCCCACGUUUAUCGGACAGUAAGACAGAAGCUACUCACUAGAGGAUCAUACCUUAGAUCGUGCCAAGGUUCAUUGCUCUCCUAACCCCAAGUGGUAAUAACACUGGUUUCAAAGCCAUCACUCAUGAAUCCAACCUCUGUGGAAGUCGCCAAACUCCUAAUCCGGCUACUCCAGGCAUCCCCCAAC
rnacentral:lncRNA from 1 species